GGCAUGUAUACGUAACGACCGAGCUUGGUUUGUUCGGUUUGAAUCCCAAAGGAUACUUCUUCGUAAAAACCUCGUAAAAACUCUUUCGGAAAUACGAUCUCCGAGGAUUUUCGGGUGGUAAUUCCGUCGUAACCAUUUUUGACCCCAACACACGAGACAUUGGAGGAAAGCCCAAAUAAGGUCGCACGAUCGCUAUGAAGCGAUCGAGCGCAAGUCCCGCUCAGUCGCUACGUAGCAACCGAGCGUGCGUUCCGUUUGUUCGCUAAGUAGCGACCGAGCUCCUCUGAAACAUUGAUACGACACAAAUCCAUGUGUGCUCGUCUAUCCUUCGAUGCUGUCUCCCGAAGACCACAGCGAACCCGUCUCAUGUUUUCUGCCAUUCGAAGUCAUCAAUCAAACUUUACGGUAAAAACCGUGGAAAGUUCCUUCUUUAUCGAAAGAAGCCGUAAUAAACACUACGAGUCAAAAGACGGCCCAAAGGGACCUAAGACAUGACUCGAGGCCCAACUUGCGAUUUCUUAACCAACAGCCCGUAAACCGUAGGACGGUUUAGGCUUGGUUCGAAAGGAAAGAUAAAUUUCAAAUUUCCGCGGAUAAAUACUAAAUUUUUGAGGAUAAUUACGGAUAAAAACAGAAUAUCUCUAUUUUUAUGCUAUGACGGCUUAAGGGCAGAAGGGAAAAAGCAAAAACCGACCUAGGAGCGAGUAUAUAAGGAGUCAUAGGCGAGAGGCAAAGAAGAGUUUUGGACACAGCAAAUUUAGCACUUAGAGCAGUUUAGGCAAUUUUCCGUUUUUGUUAUUCGAGCUGCGACUCAAUUAGGUUGUUGCCGUCUUAGGGUUUUAGAAUUAGGAAUCUCGCCGACAGCUCUCGUGGCCCAGGCUCUUACCUUGUUGUAACGCUCAAACGCGAAUUCAUAAAAAGAUCUACUUUGCUCUUUUUUUACGAUUUCUUAUAUUUUAUCGUCUUUAUUUCUUGUUCUGACUGCUUGGCAUGUGGAAAAUUAGGGCUUUCGUACUUUCGUUAUUUAAACAGAAAUCGACAGUGCGAAUAUUGUGUUUUAGUUAGUUAUUUAAAAAAAAGUAAAAUAAGGAUAUCCGAAUAGACGAUUCCCCCGCACAUAGAUCGAUGAGACAAGCUCGAUAUCGAUCACCAGCACUUCAUAUCUAACGAUCGAUUGUCUCUUCAUUGUGUCGAAUUAUUGCUCCAGCCAUCGACCGAUGAGACCAUGUCGCUAUCAGUCGACAACACUUCAUCAACAACGAUCGAUUGUCACUGCAUUGUGUCGAUCGACAGUGAGCAGGUCAUCGUUCUUAUUUGUUAAAUUAUGUACUUAUGAUUAUUUCUCACCAUAACUCUGCCUAGAUAUACACUGGGAACAUUGUAAUUUAAGUCUGGAGGGAUGUUUACUGAUAUUAGUAUGUUCAUGAGUCUUAUCAAAAUGUUUUCAAAAGAGUUUUAUUUAGUUAAGAAGGGGAUCAUAAACUUAUUAGAUUUUUGCUUGUUAUCUAACCACUCUUUAGCACCAUUCUAGACUUACUGAUUGCAGACUGUACUAAAGAUACUAAAGUGGAUCAACUUGUCAACUAUUCACACUUGCUGAGAUUGUUUGAAGGAACCAAAGCUGACCUCCAACACUAAACCUGACACAACUGUUUGUCUUGGGUUUGGUAUACAAGAGAUCGGAUUCUUCAAACAAGCCUGGAAGGUAAAGCCUUGUGUAGAUUUAUCACAUUUUCUCUCUCUAUUUCGACCCUAGAUUUACAUGUACAAAUAUUUAUUUACUUUUUUUUAAAUAACGAAAAAGAAAGAAAGAAAAAGAAAUAGAUAUAUAUAUGUGUGUGUUAGGUGGAAUCCGAACAUGACCUUGUGGCUACAACCAUGAAGGCUUGCUUCAUAAGGAUUCCAACAAAAAGAAUUCGAACAGGACUUGGUGGCGGCAAUCAUCAAGAAUCGAUUCACAUGAAUUCUUGGAUAUAUGUCAAAAAGAAGUGAACAUGACUUGGUGGAAAACACCUUUAAGGCUUGAUUCAUGGAAGCUUGUCCAAUCUUGGUCAAUGAUCCUGCUAUGGAAGCAGACUUUGACUAAAGGGAGAAAUUAGUAAAGAGAAAAUAUAGGAACUAACUUUUACCUGCAGAUCGAGAUACUUGUUUGAAAAUCCUUGCAUCUUGUGAUCGAUACUCCCAAGGUAAAGCCUGCAUUUUUAUUUAUGUUAAGAAAUGAGGUUGGUAGAGGGAAUGUCAGACAUGAUUUGCUAAGUUGUUGGCUAGGUUAAUUUGGUUGCUAAGCUAGGAUAUGGUAUAAUGUGCUUUUGUGAUUAGGACUUCUUAGAUGUGGAUUGCAAUAUUGUAGAGGUGAUGAUUCUAAGUUUUAAAUCAUGUGAGUCCCUGCUAUUUUCAAACCACUUUCAGAGAGACUACCCGUUUGUUUUGCUUGAGGACAAGCAAAAGGGUAAGUCUGGGGAGUUGAUAGACCAUGGAUUUUAUCCACUUUUAGCCAUGGUCUAUAAGUGUUUUAAUAUAUAUUUACCACUAUAUAGAGUCUAUUUAGAGUAUUUACAGGUUAAGAUACGUUUUGGAGAAAUAUGGUGAUUUUGGAGUCUUUUGAGGUGCAGAACUGCACAGGCGCGUGAGAUGUGUAGCUAUGGAUGGAGACAUUCCGACCGUUAGAUUGAGCUCACAUUUUUACACGAGGUAUAGAUUUGAGUUAGCUUUUCAAUUCCACCGGUUUGAUGUCAAUCAGCAUCCUGUAUCUGACGUUAUGCCCAUUUUACUGAUGAGUGGUCAGUCUGCCUCGGGAGAGGAAGCUGUCGAGAAGAGGAACGUAUGUCGAUCGAUGCAGAACUCUUGACAUCGAUCGUUAUGGAUGCCAGAACGUGGGCCAAGCAUAUUUCAACACCGUUUUAAGCCCAGAAGCCACACCAAGUUACCAAAAUACCCAUGGACGACUAGAAACCCUAUUUAUGUAUUUCUAAGCCAUUGUUGACGGCUACACGCUUUCUAUUAUCCUAUUCUAUUGUUUUCUCUUAGGUUUGGAGAGAAGAUCAAUUCUCCUUCAGAUAUUGAUUGGAACUCCAUUGGUUUUAUCACUGAUUCUUAUUUAUUAUAUUAUUCAAACUAUGAUUUGUGUUAUUGCUUGCAUGUCUGAGUAAUUCAUCUUGUUAGGUUUAGGGAUUUCAUGCAUAAUGUCAAACUGAUAAUCAAUUAGGAUUGCUAGGUUUUCUAUAGAUCUCUACACCAGGGUGAUUUGUAAUACUAGGAUCUGGAAUAGUUAGAAUAGCAUGAUAGUGUGACUAAUUGUUUGAACCUAAAAUCAUAGGAUAGUUGAGAGGCACGAAAGUUCAAUCAAUUAACGGAACCCGAACUCUGCUUGAUUAGAUACCUAAGCGCAUACGAGAGUUGGUCUAGGAAUCUAGUUGAACUAAAUCGAUUAGGUCAUUAAUGCUUGUCUAAGGAAGUAUCGAUCGACGCUCAGGCCAUAGCAUCGAUCGACACUUGCUCCAAGUCAACAAGCGACAGCUGAGACUAGACUUAGACAUCUGAUUAGGAAUUGCAUGCGAAAGCUGGAUUUCUUACUUAUUAAAAUCGAGUUCUAGAAUUAAUCUAUAAACCAUUAGCAUCCUUGAAUUGUAGUUUUGAAUCUCUUGAUUGAUAAAUCCCUAGGUCUAGCUAUUUCUCCUAACUCUUUACAACCUCAAUCAACCAAUCGAACAAAUACUUUGUUCACAUUGCUUUAAUUUAUUUACUGUUUUCAUAUUUAUUACCUAUUAAAUUUGUUUGCCUAGCUUAACUUUGAUUUCUAUAGUCUAUUUGGUUUCCUAGCUCCUUGUGGAUUCGAUCCCUAAGUACUACGAUUGAACCUCUUAUUUGAGAGAGUAAUUCACUCGUUAGGGUAAUUUGAGUGAUAUCAAGGACUGUCGAUCGAUGAAACAGCAGUGAUGCCAGAAUAUGGGCUGAGCAUAUUUUAUGACCACUGAAGCCUAGAAGCAACCCAAAAUUACCAGAAUACCCUUGGACGACUAGAAACCUUAUUUAUGUUAUUUAUAAGCCAUUGUUGACGGCUACACGCUAUCUAAGCUUUAUUCUAUUGUUUCUCUUAGUUAGGAGAGAAGGGAAGAACUCCAUCAGAGUUCUCCUGAAACUCCAUUGGUUUUGGUUUUAUAUUAUUUAUGCUUUUGCAUCUAUUCUUUCUAUGAUUUCUGUGACAAACUUCAUGUAUGAAUAGAUCCACCUGUUAGGUUUAGGAUUCAUAUAGGUUAUGAAGGAUUAACCCGAAAUAUAGAACUGCUAAAUUGUGAUAUUCAUCAUAGGAUUGUUCUUACUGCUUGUGUUCUAGAGUCAUGAACUAGAACCCUGAUCUUAGACUCAUUAGGCACAAUUGCGAACGCUUGAUCUUUUCUUUUCUCUGAACUGAAUUCUAUUGAGGUAGGAAUGCUAGAAACAUACGAGAGUUGAUUUAGGAACCCUAGUGAACACAUAUUCAACCCGAUCGUAAAGCUUGCUAGAAGCAAUAUCGGUCGAUGAUCCAAUAGAUUAAUUGACUGAUAGGUGUAUCGAUCGAUAUUCCUAUAGAAUAAUCGAUCGACACUUUGUUGUGAUCAAUAAACAAGAGUUGAGAUCCAAGAUUUGGAUAUUAAACUGUCUAUACAACGGAAGUUGUUAGAUUUGUACUCCCAGUUGAGUUCUAUAAUAUCUUGCAAGCAACAAUUAGCCUUUAUAUCAUUAUAACCCUGAUUACCUGAAUAGAAACUCUAGAUCUAGCAAACCAUCAUUCCGUCAAACAACUCUCUGCCAAGCUGAAUAAUUUUCUUGUUCAACUUGUUUACUGCUUUAUUUACUGCUUUAUAAACUAUUAACCUAGCUUAAUCAUAUAACUAUUAGAUCUAAUUGGUUCCCUAGCUCCCUGUGAAUUCGAUCCCUGAGUACUACAACUCGACCUCUUAUUUGAGAGAGUAUAAAUCACUCAUUUGGAUAAUUUGAGUGAUAUCAAUUACAAAUCUGCACCUCUAGGUCUCUUACAAUUCCUCCUGAGCUCCUCUGAGAACAAUCUACAUAAGUGAAUGACUCCUUGGAAGUCUCCACCUUCCGACCCAGAUGGUCUUCCAUAACCCUAGGUAGGAUUGAUACCACUCAAAUUAUCCUAAGGAGUGUUACUCUCAUCAAAAGAGAUUCAGAUGUAGUACUUAGGGAUCGAAUCCACAAGGAGCUAGUGAACAAUUAAAUCUAGUGUUUAUUAAUUCUAAGAGUUGUAAAUGUUUAAAUGAAAUAGCAAUA